rnacentral:lncRNA from 1 species
CUCUUCUCCCAGUACGGCCGGAUCAUCACUUCCAGAAUCCUGCUGGACCAGGCCACAGGUGUCUCUCGGGGUGUGGGAUUCAUCCGCUUUGACAAGAGGAUCGAGGCAGAAGAGGCUAUCAAAGGACUGAAUGGGCAGAAGCCACUGGGUGCUGCUGAGCCUAUCACGGUCAAGUUUGCAAACAACCCAAGUCAGAAGACAGGGCAGGCCCUGCUCACCCACCUGUACCAGUCCUCUGCCAGGCGCUACGCUGGUCCCCUGCAUCAUCAGACACAGCGCUUCCGGCUGGACAAUUUGCUCAACAUGGCCUACGGAGUCAAGAGGUAACAGUGCCCUGCUGUACUGUCUCCAUCCCUCAUAGCCCUCUUCCCUUGAUGACCGUCCUCUAAGCCCUGCAUGUACCUUGUCUCUGGGACCCUGGGUAGCCAUUUCUUCCUGUGAUGACUAUAAGAGCAGGAGGGUCAUGGAAGGCUGUUGCUUUCCACAUUUCUUUCUUUUUAAUAGUAAUUUUUGAGUUUUUU